GCCCAGCUAGCUCAGCUGGUAGAGCAUGAAACUCUUAAAUCUCAUGGCUGUGGGUUCAAGCCCCACAUUGAGCA